CUUAUUAUCUCAAAAUGUACAAUAAUGAUAAGAUUUAAAGGUGUAUAUUAGUAAGAGCUGUAAGUAUUUGGAGUUAAUAGUUGGUUUAUUUAGUGUAACGUUAUUUGUGUGUAAACUUUCCCCGCUGUGGCGCGCGCGGCCUGCGCUGCUCGGGAAUGUGCUCCGCACUGCGCAUGCUCCCGCAGAGCCCGGUGCACAGCGAUGCUGUGGGAGCUGGGCAUUCCCCUCAGUCCGAGCCCAGCACAGGCAGCGGCGCGCGCGGACGGACGGACGGGCGGGCGGGAGGACCGGGGCUCCGGGAGGCGGAUUACAGAGAAAAUCACUGAUUCUUUUUCUCCACAGCCCAGAGUCACAUGAGAGCUCCGCCGCUCCGCUCCGGCAGUUUUCUGCCUAGGAAUACACACUUGGACCCACAUUGAUUUGAUUAAUUCUGCUUGAUCUCGAGGAGUUGCCAUCAAUGAAAGCUGUCUUCAGCUAUGAUGACCGAUCAGCACCUCCCACUUCUGGAGGCCACGCCCAUGCUGGCUGAUGUGCCUUUCCUCCCUCCAAUGAUCAAUGGAGACAGCAUGCAGCAGGUGAGUGGCUAAAAAAGGCGGUUUGAAUAUUGAAUGUUACGUUUUUUGCUGCUAUUUGC
rnacentral:lncRNA from 1 species